GCUCAUCCCUGGUUUCCUAGGUCCUCACAUCCAGUGAUCAACACUGCACAGACCACCCAACAUGGACUUCCACAACACCUUGGUUUUCUUUUUGCUUCUUUUAAAAAGUAUCCAGUGUGAGGUGCAGCUGGUGGAGUCUGGGGGAGGCUUAGUGCAGCCUGGAAGGUCCCUGAAACUCUCCUGUGUAGCCUCUGGAUUCACUUUCAGUGACUAUAGAAUGAACUGGAUUCGCCAGGCUCCAGGGAAGGGGCUGGAGUGGGUUGCAUCUAUUAGUAGUAGUAGCAGUUACAUCUACUAUGCAGACACAGUGAAGGGCUGAUUCACCAUCUCCAGAGACAAUGCCAAGGACACCCUGUACCUGCAAAUGACCAGUCUGAGGUCUGAGGACACUGCCUUGUAUUACUGUGCAAGACAC